UACCUUUAUUUCAUGAAUUUAUUUUUAUGUGGUGCUGAGGAUCAAACCUAUUGCCUUACACAUAUGAGACAAGCACUCUACCACUGAGCUACAACUCCAGCUCCUGGAAAUUAUAUUUUUUAAACACUAUAUUCAUUCAUCUAUUACUUUUCUCAAAAGACUAUGUAGACCUCUAAAAAAUAAUAGUUAUUUAAAAGUUGCCAUAUGUGGUGGUAUAUCUGUUACUCAAUUCAAGUUUCACCUCUGGGAUGAGGGGACAAAAUGGGUUAAUUGCUAUAGCAGGGAACAAAAGGUACAUUUGAGCGCAUGCUGUGUACAGUUCUAAAGCUUCAUGUCAUGAAGUAUGUGUACCUCAGUUUAUCCAUUAGAGAUGACAUUACAUACAUAAGGUGCAUUUGUUGAAUCAGAACUCAAGGAAUAUGAUGCCUUUCCUUGGCUCAUUCUGAGAUUAAGGGGAAGAGAAUUCUACCCAAGCAGAGAGAACUAGUCUUCUCAGGGAUUGGCACCUCUGCUCACCAGAUUGCUCAAGACUGAAACUGGUUACUGGUUGAUCACCCUUAACCUGAAAAUUCAGAAUCUGAAAUGCUCUGAAACCUGAAACUUUUUGAGUGCUGACGGUUCACAAGUGGAAAUUUCCACACCUGACCUCAUGUGACAGGUUGCGGUCAAAACCCAGGUGCACCAAAGAUGUCAGCCUGCCUCCUAAAUAGAUGUCAAAUUCACAUCUCUGUCUUUAUAGUUAAGGUCAUCCAAGUUAAGGUCACCAGUAUCUUUUGUGUAGUAUUGGAUUCAUCUCCUAAUUGAUCUCCCUUUAUCUAGUCUUGCUAGUUCUGCUAUUUUAUUAAUAAAAAUGAUUCAUUC
rnacentral:lncRNA from 1 species